UUCNCUGCGAUGCUGAGGUUGCUCUUAUCAUCUUCUCUAAUCGUGGUAAACUCUAUGAGUUCUGCAGCACUUCAAGCAUGAUGAAAACAAUUGAAAAAUAUAAACGUUGCAGCUAUGCUACUUUGGAAGCCAACCAAUCAGCCACUGAUACUCAGAACAACUACCACGGGUAUUUGAGGCUAAAAGCUAGAGUUGAGCCCCUUCAACGAUCUCAGAGGUAAGUUCCUAAUCUUUUAAUACUCCCUAUAUAUAUCUGUUUUAAAAGGCGUUUCUGG